rnacentral:rRNA from 1 species
GGUCCAGGUAGCUGCCUUCGCCAUGGAUGUUCCUCCUGAUCUCUACGCAUUUCACUGCUACACCAGGAAUUCCGCUACCCUCUACCACACUCUAGUCGCCCAGUAUCCACUGCAGUUCCCAGGUUGAGCCCAGGGCUUUCACAACGGACUUAAACGACCACCUACGCACGCUUUACGCCCAGUAAUUCCGAGUAACGCUUGCACCCUUCGUAUUACCGCGGCUGCUGGCACGAAGUUAGCCGGUGCUUAUUCUUUGGGUACCGUCAUCCCAACCGGGUAUUAGCCAGCUGGAUUUCUUUCCCAACAAAAGGGCUUUACAACCCGAAGGCCUUCUUCACCCACGCGGUAUGGCUGGAUCAGGCUUGCGCCCAUUGUCCAAUAUUCCCCACUGCUGCCUCCCGUAGGAGUCUGGACCGUGUCUCAGUUCCAGUGUGGCUGAUCAUCCUCUCAGACCAGCUACGGAUCGUCGCCUUGGUGGGCCUUUACCCCGCCAACUAGCUAAUCCGACAUCGGCUCAUUCAAUCGCGCAAGGUCCGAAGAUCCCCUGCUUUCACCCGUAGGUCGUAUGCGGUAUUAGCGUAAGUUUCCCUACGUUAUCCCCCACGACAGAGUAGAUUCCGAUGUAUUCCUCACCCGUCCGCCACUCGCCACCCAGAGAGCAAGCUCUCCUGUGCUGCCGUUCGACUUGCAUGUGUUAGGCCUACCGCCA